AAACUCCGGCUAAUACCCCGUAAGCUCUCGGGGCCGAGUGGCAUCGGGAGGAAAGGUAGCUUCGGCCAUCCGGCGAGGGAUGGGCCCGCGGUACAUUAGCUAGUUGGUGGGGUAACGGCCCACCAAGGCGACGAUGUAUAGCUGGUCUGAGAGGAUGAUCAGCCACACUGGGACUGAGACACGGCCCAGACUCCUACGGGAGGCAGCAGUCGGGAAUCUUGCGCAAU
rnacentral:rRNA from 1 species